rnacentral:rRNA from 1 species
GACGUAGGGCGCGAGCGUUGUCCGGAAUUACUGGGCGUAAAGCGCGCGUAGGCGGCUUUGCAAGUCGGGUGUGAAAUCCCCAGGCUUAACCUGGGAACUGCAUUCGAGACUGCAUUGCUAGAGUAUGGGAGAGGGAAGUGGAAUUCCUGGUGUAGCGGUGAAAUGCGCAGAUAUCAGGAGGAACACCGGUGGCGAAGGCGGGUCUCUGGGCCGAUACUGACGCUGGAGGAGCGAAAGCCGUGGGGAGC